GCUCUCUCACCUUUCUUCUUUCUUCCUCUAUCGUCGUCUCCCCUCAGAGGUUUGCUUCACAGUCAUAGCUCGUUUGUUCGAAAGUCCGCCAAAGAGGAAGCUCUCACCCAUUUGCGCGUGACCUUCCAAAAAAUGAAGGGUUUGAUAUUACAGUAUGACCCAAAGACGAACCCUAAGGGGGACAUGCUUGACUUCAGCGAUUGAGGCUUUGACAGGCUCGAAUGUGUCAAGGGAUGUGGCAGUUGAUGAUUGCGAAACUCGACCUCCGGAUACCCCAUUGGAAUCAAUGGAAGAAGUACCUCCAAUCUUGACCGAGCCGAGCGUGAGAAGACAAGAAAGAACUAGUGUGGCAGAUAUUUGGAAUCUCCCACCAGGUGAACGUAUAAUUAUUGAAACCGAAGAGUAUGGCCAACCUGUUGAUAAGGAGGCUUCCUUGUUGUUCAGAGUUUCUGGGACAAUAGGUCGGUCAGGAAAUAUGUGCCCUUUGGAUAUCAUACGUCGGGGAAAAGUUCCAAACCAUGCGAAGGACAACAUUUUGAAGACAGAACAUGAGAAAUUUGACUUUCAACAGCGUAUGGAAGACAAAGAGAUCUUGAAGCAUGUCACAAGAUAUCGGAAGGACUGGAGGAACCCGAUUAAAGGCAGAGAUAUAUGACCCUUUGGACGAAAAAGAAUAUCCAAUUGAAUAAAUAGAAAAACAGGUCCCUGAAGGUGAUUUUGAAGAACGAUGGAAGAAUUGGUGGAGUAUUGACGUACUCCAGAGGUCGUGGUAUGUACAUUUAUAUGUGGUUGGAACAAUUGUCAACUGUGAAGCCCAAACUAUAUAAUGGUAUAAUGUUUUACGGUUAAUUUGUUAACAUAGGAAAUCAAAAGCUGGGAAGAUUUCAAGGAAAAAGAUUCGGUUUCUACACACCGCGAGGUUUACGAGUUUUACUGCUUGUGUGGGAAAAUUUAUAAGGCAUCCAAUUCUUCAUUCAAUGAGUUAAAAAUAUACCUCCAUACUUACUAAUAUUUUAUUUGAUUUCUUCAAUUUUCAUAGAAAAUUGAUAAGGGUCGAGCUCCUUUUGAACACCAGCAUAAGCGCACUGAUGAUUCAUUAAUCAAUGAGGAUGCUGCACAAAUCCUUGUACGUAUUGAUUGCAGUAAUCAUUUUGUUUCAUUACUGCUAUACAUGAUUAUUUAAUUGAUAAUUUUAGGAUCGAGCAAAAGAAGGGUUGAGAGGAUCAUGUCUCUGCAACAGAAACUGAUAGUGUGAUGGUUGAUCAAGUUAUUGUGAAAAAUGAGGUGUUCACCGAAGUCUUCGAGCGGGACAAGUAUGGAAGGGUAACGGGAUACAGACAUAGGAUGACGCAAUCAAGUUUGCGUGGUGCUUCCUCGAGGCAAACAGGCCCAACCCUUGAAAGAGUGCUCGAAGAGGUUCAGGAACAACAUAUGUGGCAAACUGAAGCAAUUCGAGCUGAACAAGCACAUCAUGGAGAAGAAAUUCGAGCUGAACAAGCAUGUUGGGAAGAAGCAUUUAGAGCCGAACGAUGAGCUCAUGUAGCCGCUCUAGAACAAAAAUUACAUGAGGAGGCGGAGGCUCGAAUAGCAGAUAAAUGUUAUUGAACUAGGGAGUAAAUAGGAGAUAUAAAGGCUAGAACACUGCCUGUCAACUUGUACUGGUGUCUACUCUCAACAAGCUUGGAGGCGCAAGUUUGAACGACGCAACCCAAUAAGUACUAAGAUUGUUGUAUGAGUAUGAGUGAUUUUUUUCAUAAUGUGUUUCAACUUUAGUGUUGUUGGGGAUUGUUGGUACCCAUUGCGUUGUUGUUGAACUUGCGACAUUGGCCUUUAUUGAACCUGUAACGUUAGGAUUGAUGAAUUUUGUUGGGAUAAUACUUUUGCCCAAGUCAUUUAAG